rnacentral:rRNA from 1 species
CUCUGGGUCCACCUCCCAUCCGUGUCUAUCUGUACCCUGUUGCUUCGGCGUGGCCACGGCCCGCCGGAGACUAACAUUUGAACGCUGUCUGAAGUUUGCAGUCUGAGUUUUUAGUUAAACAAUCGUUAAAACUUUCAACAACGGAUCUCUUGGUUCCGGCAUCGAUGAAGAACGCAGCGAAAUGCGAUAAUUAAUGUGAAUUGCAGAAUUCAGUGAAUCAUCGAGUCUUUGAACGCACAUUGCGCCCCCUGGUAUUCCGGGGGGCAUGCCUGUCCGAGCGUCAUUGCUGCCCUCAAGCACGGCUUGUGUGUUGGGCUUCCGUCCCUGGCAACGGGGACGGGCCCAAAAGGCAGUGGCGGCACCAUGUCUGGUCCUCGAGCGUAUGGGGCUUUGUCACCCGCUCCCGUAGGUCCAGCUGGCAGCUAGCCUCGCAACCAAUCUUUUUAACCAGGUUGACCUCGGAUCAGGUAGGGAUACCCGCUGAACUUAAGCAUAUCAUA